AUCCAAUUGACGAGUCCCAAAUAGGAAGAAACGCGCGUCUUGGAU
rnacentral:hammerhead_ribozyme from 1 species